GGAGGAGGAGGAGGAGAAGGAGGAGGAGGGAGGCGCGGACACGCCGCUCGGACGCCGCCUGCAGCGCGCACCCUCCCGGUGCCCGGCGGAGGCGGGCUGCAGUUACGUGCGAUGCGUGAAUUGGCAAACACCAGAAGAUGUCCCAUCCUGCUGGAAGUCUGUGACCUACGAGCCCGUUAAUGGGAAACGCCAGCCGCCGGUCACCUGCGGUGCUGGGGAUGCACAGGGCGCUGCCGAGGGGCGCAGCACCAGGGGAGUUGGGGUGCUGAGGGAGAGCUUCAGUUUUCUUCAGUUCCUGACUCCUAGAAUAAAACCUUCCAGGGUCUCCUACUCCUGGCCUCUUCUGAGACCCAGCACCUUUUGGAAGGUCUUGGGCACCUCCUAGGAGAAGAGAUGCCCAAGUCCAACCCUCCCAAGAGCGGACCUCACGCCAGAGUUCACGCUGCUCCUCUGAUAACAAAGCAGCAAGCAGCUCGGUCUUACAGCAACGCCAGUCCCAGCAUCCGUGCUACCAACCCCUGUCGUAACAUAACAAGGACUCUUCCCAAAAUAUUUGGGCUUGCCCUGUCACAGUGUGCGGCGUUCAAGUUCAGCACUCUGUCAACAACGCCAGGUGUCUCCUGAACCCCCAGCUCCCGAGCCAAGAGGGAGAGCUCAGAAGCAAGGAAUAAUCAUUAUUCACAUUACUAACACAUAACGGAAUGUUUAAACAGAUAACGUAACAAAACCCUCUGCAGCGAGAAAAACGACAGGUUCUUAUUUAUCCCAGCUAGGCACACAAUGAACUCCGUCUCCUGGAAAGAGAAAGUGAGGCUCCCUCUUCCGCAACUGACAGCCACCAAAAAAAAAAAUGUAUAUAUUCUGGUGUGCUGGCUGUGUCCCUCAAGGGGGGCCGAAAUUCUCUGUAGCCCUUGAUAAACCAACUGGCAAUUUUGGGGGGGGUAAAAAAAAAAGUUACUCAAAGCCAAACUCAAACAUCUAAGAAAAAAGCUGGUGAAACCAAAAUCCAAGAACGAUUUCAUUUUGAGUCAAUCCAAAGAUUUCAAUUUUGAGUUUUAGGGGAAUAAAAAAAAAAAAAGACACACACCCCCCUUG